AUGCAAACAAGACAUAGCCAGAAUUUAAAUAUAUACAGAGAUACAUUUAAUACAUUUCAAGUAUGUAAAAAUCACCAUUCUUCACUGCUAACCAAAAACAUUUCCUUUCCACACUGGUGUAAGGCUCAAGGACAUCUGAGAGUGUCCAUCAGAAAUAAAAGAAAAUCUAGUUUAAAACACACGUGCCAAGUUAUCAGACAUGCACUCUUUGUAUUCACGUUGGUUUAUAUAGUUUCAGAAAAAUAAACCAUUUUCAAGAAAGGUUUCAAUUUAAUGACUCUAAAUAUGUCAUGUGGCAAAACAUCAAAUAAAAAAGUAGUAACACAGUUACUUAAACCUUGAAUACACUAAUGUUCAAAGAUUUGGGGUCAGUAAGAUUUGUUUUAAAAGAAAUUCAAGGUUUUAUUCAGACAAAUAUGCACUAAAUUGAUCAAAAGUGAAGACUUUAAUAUUGAAUUUAAAAAAUAAUUUUAAAAAUUUCAAAUGAAUGCUUUUUAAACGUUCUAUUCAUCAAAGAAUACUGAAAAAAAAUAUUAGGUUUCAACAUUGAUAAUCAGAAAUGUUUCUUGAGCAGCAAAUCAGCAUAUUAGAAUGAUUUCUGAAGAUCAUGGAGUAAUGAUGCUGAAAACUCAGCUUUGAGUGCAUUACAAUUUAAUAUUCAAACAGACAACAGCUAUUUUAUUUCACAAUAUAACUGUAUGUAGUGUAUUUCUGACUGUACAAAAAUGCAGCCUUAGUGAGAAUAAGAGACUUCCAUCAAAAACAUAAAAGCUUAGUGUACAUGCGAGUGGACACCUCUUUAAAUAGAUAUAUUUUUUAAAUAUAUGUAAAACACACCUUCUAGUUUUUACAAAUUAUAAAGUAUUAAUUCAUAACGAGUUACCCAGGUUUGUCAUUUAAUGGUCAAAAGCUCUGAUGCUAUAAAGCACAUAUUGACCUUGACGCACAGUCAUGAGGGUCUGAACUCUACAGGGGUCUUCUAUAUGACCUCAUUUCCUGUCAGUUUUCUCCCUGCAUGUUAGUCGCCUUUGCUGGACAAAGGUUUUUCAAAUAUUAUAAACGCAGUGAAGCGGUUUCAAAUUAAUAACAGAUAACUAUGCAAGGCUGCCAGGUUUAAUUAUUUUAAUGAGGCUAUUUUUUUUAAAACAAUAUCUUUAUUAUUAUUAUUAUUAUUUUUGGAUCACAAUACAGUUGUAUAACCCUAACAUUUUAUACUUAAUUGAAAUGAAUUUUACAAACAUGCUUCAGACAAGACUCAGAUGUGUAUGAACUGCACUAUAAAGAGACAGCAGUCACCUCACUGACCCUAAACAGAAGAAGAUAAACAACCUCACAGUGUUUAAUAAUCAACAGUAAUGCAGUACAACAGGAAACAGUGACUGGACACUUCAGGAGAAGAGCUGCACACAGUGACACUUUGACAUAACUUACACCAUGCUAUCUUUAUCAAAUAAGAUAUCAUCACUCAGAGAACACGGUGAAUCCACAACGAUUAAACUUAACAUCCGUCAGCUCAUGUGGUAAUGAUAUUGAGAUGAGGUGCCUUUAGUAACACCUGUAAAUAUCUAACACAUAACACCUGGUGUAUUGUUAUCCUUGCCAUUAGUGAUGACUUCACUGAAGAGCUUCAUAUGGGGUUAUUUCUCUAGCAUUAGCAUUAGCAAUAGCAAAACAAAGACAAACCGCGUAACUUAGGUUUAAGCCAGAACAGACAAACAUUAUAUUGACUUUCUAUCUCAUAUCUGGUACGUGCAGUCCUGACAGUAACACCGCAGCGAAUAGCCGCACGAUUAUAACGAGUUUACUUCACUCAGGCUCAUGUAACGUUAUUAGCAAGUCAGCCUCACUGGUCACUGCCUCACUAAAGCGAGGCUCUUCCUUCACGCAGCGGACGCGUUUACACGUUAACUUCAUCGAGAUGUUUCCAUGAGAUAAUGAGGUGGGAAGAUCUCACCGUUGUCAGUCCAUCAGGAGUGGUUUUACUGCAGUAAACAGGUAUGUGCUAGCAGACGCUAACGGCGCGUUCGCGAAGCGGCUGGGCACGUAAGUUCAACGCUGUGCGUGCGCGUACUCGUGCUUCACGGGACCGCGCUCGUUCCUGUCCGUUCUGCUGUCCA
ensembl:lncRNA